AAAGCGUGGGGAGCAAACAGGAUUAGAUACCCUGGUAGUCCACGCUGUAAACGAUGUCGAUUUGGAGUUUGCUGCCUUGAGUGGUGGGCUCCGAAGCUAACGCGAUAAGUCGACCGCCUGGGGAGUACGGCCGCAAGGUUAAAACUCAAAUGAAUUGACGGGGGCCCGCACAAGCGGUGGAGCAUGUGGUUUAAUUCGAUGCAACGCGAAGAACCUUACCUGGUCUUGACAUCCAUAGAAUCCUGUAGAGAUAUGGGAGUGCCUUCGGGAACUAUGAGACAGGUGCUGCACGGCUGUCGUCAGCUCGUGUUGUGAAAUGUUGGGUUAAGUCCCGCAACGAGCGCAACCCUUAUCCUUUGUUGCCAGCGGGUUAAGCCGGGAACUCAAAGGAGACUGCCGUUGAUAAAGCGGAGGAAGGUGGGGACGACGUCAAGUCAUCAUGGCCCUUACGACCAGGGCUACACACGUGCUACAAUGGCGUAUACAAAGGGAGGCUACCUCGCAAGAGCAAGCGGACCUCACAAAGUACGUCUAAGUCCGGAUUGGAGUCUGCAACUCGACUCCAUGAAGUCGGAAUCGCUAGUAAUCGUGAAUCAGAAUGUCACGGUGAAUACGUUCCCGGGCCUUGUACACACCGCCCGUCACACCAUGGGAGUGGGUUGCACCAGAAGUAGAUAGCUUAACCGCAAGGGGGGCGUUUACCACGGUGUGGUUCAUGACUGGGGUGAAGUCGUAACAAGGUAACCA
rnacentral:rRNA from 1 species